rnacentral:lncRNA from 1 species
UGAUUCCUGCCAACUUAUGUAUGAUUAAACGAUCAAUCAUUUUCAAAUUUUCUGAUGAAUCUGGAUUACCUUUCCUUUCUUCAACUUAAGAUUUUCGGUUUUGGUUUCUGCAAAAAAAUAACAUAACAUUAAAAAACGUUAAAAGUUACUUUAUGGUUGUUAUUUAGUAUUAUACUCCGGAUCUUGGUACUCAAUUUCAUGUUUUACUUUAACGUAUACUUCUCAUUCAACUUCUAUGACUGAAACAUUAACAAUGCUUUAAAAAUGGAUAUCUUUUUCUUUUCUUUUUUAAUUAAGGAUAUUGAUACUAUAUAUUUUCCUUUUAGCUCCGAUCGACAUUUUUAAUCAAAGAUGUGUCUAACUUGUGUGAGUGUCUAACGAACGUAAUUGCAUUCAAUUAUGUUAUAUGGUCAAAUUAUUAUCGAUGUUGAUGUCACUGACUGUGUCUUACCGAUUCUUUUUCAAUGUGCAAUUCCGUUUUUGGUCCGAAUUGUUAAUAUAAUUCGAAUGAUGUUGCAUUUCUGGGUUAAGGAAAUUCAUGAUAUAUAUUUCUAUAGUGCGGAAUCAUUUAGAAAACGAAAAUGAAAAAGUUAUGGUCGGUUGAUUUAUAUGCAUUCACAAUUAUUUAGUAUCAUACUUCAAAUAUUUUUGUCGUCAUUUGUGUAGUAAUUGUUAACUAUAAUCCAUUCAAAGUAAUUUUAGUAAAUGUGUAUGCCGCCACAUCACUUGGUGUAUCUAAAGGUAGUUAGAUAUAUUAGUUGGACUCGGGUAUGUGGUCAAAAUCUAGAUCGUCUGAUCAAGAGUGAUGGCUCAAAUUUUAAAUUUUAUUAGAAAAUAAAAUUUCAAUUUAAAAUUUGAAUCAUCCGAUGAGAUGUGCCGGCUACACGUGCCAAAUUGUACACAAUACAAAUCCAUAUUUAGCUAUGUACAUUGUUGUACCAUAUUAGAUAAUUUAACAUGCCAUUUUCGUGUCCAUUACAACAACUGAAAAUGAGAUCUAGAGAAAAAAAAAUUAGUUUACCAAGUCUUUUUCUGAAGAAGAUUUUUGCUUCUUUGGAAGGAAAAACGGAUAAGACAUAGCAUGUGUUUGGAAUACCGGUGGAAAGCUCAAAAAAGCACUUCUAAGCAAAAGCU